AUCUUUCCUACCGAUUGUUUUUGAACAAGAAAGGGUGAUUGUGGAUACGUGAGCUCGAGGAACAAGAGUUUCCAUAAGUUGGUUUUUGUAUUGUUUAAACGAUCGAGGUUGAGCGGGAUGUUGCGAAUGAAUGUUGUACGUGAAGAUGAAUUGUGAUGAUAUGAUUAUGUGAAGUAUGAGAAUGAUUGACAAGAUGAUCUAAGCACGUGUUGUAUGUUGAUUAUGUAUUUGUUAUGGUGUGAUUAUAUGGAGCAUGAGCAAGAUUAGUGUGAUGACUAAGUAUGUGUUAUAUGUGUGAAAGGAUGUAGCAAACCGGAAAAUUGUGACUUUUUAUUUUUUUAUUUUUA